rnacentral:lncRNA from 1 species
CAAGCAGAGAAACUCCGUGACGAGGGUAAACCAUGCUGCGCUGAGAAGUACUUUUCUUCACGUGGGAGCGCUCUGAACCACAGAAGUUUACAUUUAAUUGUAAGUAAUGACCUUUUUAAAGUUAUAUAACCGCUGUUGUUAUGUAUAUUUGAGUGCCGGAAGUUCUGUCCUAAAGCUACCGGUCCGGCGAUUAUUGGUGACGUCAACGAAAGAAAGUAACACCUGAAAUAAGAGACAUUUUUUUUUCAUAACUCUCCGUUUGGUGAGCAAAAUGAAGGUGAAGGGAGAAGGGAAGAAUUUGGAUUGGGUCAAUGGAUCAAAUUCAUUUUCAACUGCUUAGCUGGAGAAGUGGCUGUUGGGUUAGGGUUAUGCAGGGCUAUUUAGAACACGUCAUUAGUUAGUUGACUAAACAGACACUACAUGAGAAAAACAAUACCUGACCAACUAAAGGCAUGUUUCUGGAGUGUAAGAAGAGAAAAUAAAGUCCUGUGUUAAGGCUGAUUGGCUCAGCCAACUGUCGUCAGGGUUGGAGGGAAUCACUAAGAACUUAAAGGAAGAAAGAAACGGUACAAAGGAUUUGAAGACAAAAAUAAGACAAAAAGAGGGAAAUGCUUCGACUUACCAAGGCAACAUGCGAGAAAGACCCGGCCUCUCUCCGAAGCCACAAGGACAAACUCAUAUCCGCAUUCGCAUGUGGCUCCUGCCAGUUCGGCGCUCCCUCCCCAGAAAGCUGAUCUGUCGGAGUUUUUGUUCCAGGUUGUGGCUGUUGCAAAUCCAUUACAUCAGAUAAAAGAAGGGACGGAAAUCUGAUGCUGCCUCAGAUCCCGUUGGGGUUGUCAAAGACAAGCGGAUGAAAAAUAGAGGAUUACUCCACUCUCUCCUUAUUAAGUCACCGCAGAUGGAGGGACCGUUGCAGCCAUAUGUCCCAGCAUCAGUCCCCCCCUUUUUUUUUAUUUUCCUAAUCUGAUGCAAUACGCUUAGGGGAGAACUCCUCAAAAACGAUAACUUGCUCAGACUCGCACACUCAUAAGAAAAUAAAUAAAGCAGUAUUGCACCAUUUUUAUGGUAAGUUUUAUACUUAUAGCCCAGCAUUAAGAGGAAGGAAACAUUUCUCCCCUUUUUAUAAAAUGACUGUUUUACCCCAAAGCUUAUAUCCUUU